UCUCUAAAAAAGCGAGUCAUGGUAUCUCAUCUCUCAUUCUUCUUUUUGAUUCUUUUGCAUUCGGCUCCUCUUUGAUUGCGCAGGAUUGCGUUUAAUAAAGUGUCGUCAUGUGAGACUCGUUUACGACGUGUGAAGUGAACAUCGAAGUAUCGAAUAUAAUUUCGAAGGACAGUGCAACAAUAAGUGCGUGAUGGGAUUUUCAGUGUAAUUAUGAUGUAAUUUGCGUCGUGAUAAGCCGGACAGCAGCACAUCAUCCUCACUGAAAGGUACAAGAAAGGAUCAAAUGAUCGAAGCAUCAUAUAUUAUCUCGCUGUCUGAUGCAUCGUGGGCGCAGACAUUGGAUCAUUUUAAUACAGUUAAGUGAUAGUUUAAG